AAUGCACCAAUUUGUAAGUCGCUCUGGAUAAAAGCGUCUGCUAAAUUACGUAAA
rfam:Salmo salar isolate Sally breed double haploid chromosome ssa22, whole genome shotgun sequence.